rnacentral:rRNA from 1 species
UACGUAGGGUGCGAGCGUUGUCCGGAAUUAUUGGGCGUAAAGAGCUCGUAGGCGGUCUGUCGCGUCGAUCGUGAAAAACUUGGGGCUUAACCCUGAGCUUGCGGUCGAUACGGGCAUGACUGGAGUUCGGCAGGGGAGACUGGAAUUCCUGGUGUAACGGUGAAAUGCGCAGGAUAUCAGGAGGAACACCGGUGGCGAAGGCGG